UCAUUGUCAAAAAGUAAAUAACUGAAAUCGAUCCUAGUUGCUUGUGGUUUCUAGUUUCAUUCACUGUCAAUAUUUAAUUGUCUUUGAAAUACGUAUGACAAAAGAAAUACUCUCGAGAAAAUGAUGGAAUAGUCAGAAGUAUUUGAUCCAUCGAAUAAUUUUCUUUAUUCUUACACAGGUCUGAAGAUGGACAUACAUGGCUAUGUUAAUUAUGCAUAUGCUAAUAUAAACAUUUUUUUUUAAUCAUUACGUGUUGCUAAAAUUA